AAGUCGUAACAAGGUUUCCGUAGGUGAACCUGCGGAAGGAUCAUUAAUGAAUGAUAAUUUUUUGGGGUUUUCCCUGAAAAAUAAUUCACCAUUUGUGCACUGUUAUUAGACAUACUUUGGUUAGAGCUUUGAUUUCAUUUUUUUUGAAGUCAACUUCUUGCUGACUCUAUCCUUUCUGAGGACAGUUGGCUAUGAAGCGGCCUACCAAGGUUUUUUAUCAAACACAUUUAAUUCAUCUGACCUAAACUAUUAUAAUUAAAUCAUAACUUUCAACAACGGAUCUCUUGGCUCUC
rnacentral:misc_RNA from 1 species